UCUCCCAGGUUUAUAUUCUUGGAUGAGUUCAGAAAUGUACGGAGGAGCAUCGCGGUGGAUAGCACGGAAUGUCAGAGUCAGCACUUUAAACUUGAUUCUGUCCUCAACUUUGAGCAAAUUACACAGGCUUGAACGAGCAAAGUUGUUGUUUUGUUGUUGAUAAACUGUCGUAUCUAACUGAUGUUUCGGAUAUUCAUGUAAGCUUUUUUGCAGACCCGGCUUACAUGGCAUUCAGCACUGAGUGUGGAGUCAAACAUGACACCAAGAUUUCCAGCCUCCUGGCUAGGUUCGAUGACACAAGAUGACAACUUAAGAAUGGGAAGUGUUAACUUUGUUCUCAUGGCUUUUGAUGUAAUCACAAGCAUCUCAGUCUUUUCCUCAUUCAGCUUUAAGAAAUUCAUGGUCAUCCAAGUCUUGAUGUCUUCUGUGCACUCCGCAAUUCUGGAGAAAGCAGUAUUGAUUGAGGUUUUAUCCUUUGGCUUGAAUGAUAGAUACAGCUGUGUAUCAUCUGCAUAUAGAUGAAAGCAAAAAUUGUGUGCUCUGGCAAUAUCUCCAAGUGGAGAAGUGUACAUCGUGAAAAGUAUAGGUCCCAGUACCGAACCUUG